AUGUCCUUCACCAUCACGAAAGUCUAUGCCCCGUCCGACCACUCCCUUACGGCGGCCUUUGUUGACGACAUGUCCGCUCUGGCUACUUCCAUUUCCGGGCCGUGGUUAGUUGUGGGCGACUUUAACCUCUUUCGGGAGCCACACGAGAAAAACAACGAUCGGUUCGACGCUGGCCGGGCCGCGGCCUUCAACUCCAUGAUCAAUUCCCUUGCGUGGCUGGAGCUCCCCGUCCCUGACAGGCUCUUCACCUGGUCUAGCAAA
rnacentral:rRNA from 1 species